GUUGAUCUGGAAACAAAUGAUGGAUCGUCAGAAAAAGCCCUACUUUAUGGACCAAGAAUUUCUGAGUUUUGUAAAAAGGAGCAACAAAUUAAACAAUGCAAGGGCACGGCAGGACGAGCACUCAUUAAGGAAUGACGAGGGAACAGAACUCCAGGCCAUUGCGAGAUAGAUACCCAUUUAGGGACUUGUACCUGGAAAACGUUUCUUUCUAAAGAACCAUUUACAGAAUAGAAGACAAGACCACUCGAGAAAAGUUAGUGGAAUUUUUUCUUUUUUAAAGAAGUCCUAAUAAACUAUUCUUUCUCAUU